rnacentral:rRNA from 1 species
CCCAGACUCCUACGGGAGGCAGCAGUGGGGAAUAUUGCACAAUGGGGGGAACCCUGAUGCAGCGACGCCGCGUGGGUGAAGGAGUACUUCGGUACGUAAAGCCCUAUCAGCAGGAAAGAAAAUGACGGUACCUGACUAAGAAGCCCCGGCUAACUACGUGCCAGCAGCCGCGGUAAUACGUAGGGGGCAAGCGUUAUCCGGAUUUACUGGGUGUAAAGGGAGCGUAGACGGCAGUGCAAGUCCGGAGUGAAAGCCCGGGGCUCAACCCUGGGACUGCUCUGGAAACUGUAAAGCUGGAGUGCGGGAGGGGCAGGCGGAAUUCCUGGUGUAGCGGUGAAAUGCGUAGAUAUCAGGAGGAACACCGGCGGCGAAGGCGGCCUGCUGGACCGUAACUGACGUUGAGGCUCGAAAGCGUGGGGAGCAAACAGGAUUAGAUACCCGCGUAAA